rnacentral:misc_RNA from 1 species
GAUGAAGAACGUAGCUAAAUGCGAUACGUAAUGUGAAUUGCAGAAUUCAGUGAAUCAUCGAGUCUUUGAACGCACAUUGCGCCCCCUGGUAUUCCGGGGGGCAUGCCUGUCCGAGCGUCAUUGCUGCCCUCAAGCCCGGCUUGUGUGUUGGGUCUCGUCCCCCUUCCCGGGGGGACGGGCCCGAAAGGCAGCGGCGGCACCGCGUCCGGUCCUCGAGCGUAUGGGGCUUUGUCACCCGCUCUGUAGGCCCGGCCGGCGCUUGCCGAUCAACCAAAACUUUUUUCCAGGUUGACCUCGGAUCAGGUAGGGAUACCCGCUGAACUUAAGCAUAUCAAUAAGCGGAGGA